rnacentral:rRNA from 1 species
UACGUAGGCAGCAAGCGUUGUUCGGAGUUACUGGGCGUAAAGGGUGUGUAGGCGGUUCUCUAAGUUUGGUGUGAAAUCUCCCGGCUCAACUGGGAGGGUGCGCCGAAAACUGGAGAGCUAGAGUACUGGAUGGGAGAGUGGAAUUCCUGGUGUAGCGGUGAAAUGCGUAGAUAUCAGGAGGAACACCGGUGGUGUAGACGGCUCUCUGGACAGUAACUGACGCUGAGACACGAAAGCGUGGGUAGCAAACAGG